CCAAAGAUUUAUUGCGCAGAGAGGGGCUCGCGUCUGAUUAGAUAGUUGGUGAGGUAACGGCCCACCAAGUCGACGAUCGGUAGCCGGACUGAGAGGUUGAACGGCCACAUUGGAACUGAGAAACGGUCCAGACUCCUACGGGAGGCAGCAGUGGGGAAUAUUGGGCAAUGGGCGAAAGCCUGACCCAGCGGCGCCGCGUGAAGGAAGACGGUCUUCGGAUUGUAAACUUCUUUUAUAUGGGACGAACACAUGACGGUACCAUAUGAAUAAGCCACGGCUAACUACGUGCCAGCAGCCGCGGUAAUACGUAGGUGGCGAGCGUUAUCCGGAUUUACUGGGUGUAAAGGGUGUGUAGGCGGGACUGCAAGUCGGAUGUGAAAAUCACAGGCUUAACCUGUGACCUGCAUUCGAAACUGUGGUUCUUGAGGGUCGGAGAGGUAACUGGAAUUCCUGGUGUAGCGGUGAAAUGCGUAGAUAUCAGGAGGAACACCGGUGGCGAAGGCGGGUUACUGGACGAUUACUGACGCUGAGACACGAAAGCGUGGGGAGCAAACAGGAUUAGAUACCCUGGUAGUCCACGCUGUAAACGAUAAAUGCUAGGUGUGGGG
rnacentral:rRNA from 1 species